rnacentral:snRNA from 1 species
AUGCUCACUUUGGCAGAACGUAUACUAAAGUUGGGACAAUACAAAGAAAAUUAGCAUGGCCCCUGCGCAAGGAUGAUAUGCAAAUUUGCAAAAUGUUCCUUUUUUUU